rnacentral:lncRNA from 1 species
UGUAUCAUGUAACUUGGAGUGGCUGAGCAAGUGACCUCCUUAAUUUUCACUUACAAACUUAGAGUGAAUUGUGCGAAGUGAUGGCAUUUUUCUCCAUCUGAAAAAUCAACACUAUGAAAUAACUUAUAGUAGAGCAACAGGACCCUGAAGAUAUGUAUUCUACUUGCCAGCUAAGGAAAUGCUGCCAGUACAGAAAAGUGAAAGAAGAGAAGACUGCGAGAAGGCUAAUGAUAUUUUGUUAAUUAAUGGUUGCCUUGUCCAUGAAUGCCACUGAUGAGUUAUGGAGGAGAUGUUUUCAAUGUGAGAGAGCACAAUUCAUGAAGAGCUAACAAAGGAAAUUGGUGCUAGAAGUUUCCAGGAGAAAUGAAAAAAAGAUUCUUUGUGUUUGCUCUAUAUUCAGACUUUUCACUCUGAAUGCAUGAAGCUGGUAAACCUGAGACCAACCUGGAAUAGUGAAUACACCUGCUUGUACAAGACAACCUUUGUUUAACACAGUGCUUUUUUUUCCUCUUUCUUAAACAAUGAUACCUAGUGAAGUGCUACCUGAAGCCGCAGUUGAUCUUGAUCAGACUGGAACAGUGCAUACACAUAUAGGAAGUUCUGAAUGUAGAGGACCUGAUUACUAUAUUAACAUGUAAAUAAGUAAAUGGUUAAAUGGAUUAACGAAAACACUAGUGUGCUUUGAAAAAAGAGAGAGUUUCUGGAAAUGAUGCUGACUGUAUAUUGCUCAAGAUAAAGGUCGCUAAUAGUUAAACUGCAUUAUUGUAUGCAUCCAAUCCCGAAAGAAAAUCAAACUGGUUGAAUAGGACACAAGAUUGUCUUUUGCAGUUGUACAGAAUAGUUGAAGAUUAUGAACAAUUGCUUUCAGUUCCUUUGGCCAUGAGCUUCAGGAACUGAAGUUGUUGCAAAAUACAUUGUGUUGGGCAUGUUUGAUGUCAACUGGAGUUAAAGUUUUGCAGGACUAUCUUAAAGCUGCAAGUGUGGAAGCAGCAGCAGUCCUGCAGACUGGGAAGGCUUAUGGUGCCACGUAUCCCCAAAAGAGUCACAGGAGACAAACUUUUAAAAGGGGAAGCAUGGAGGAAAGACAAUGCGAGGAAGAUAAAAAUGCAAAGCAGAGGUGCUAUAUCAAAUACAUAAAUUGUCACUUCCCAUGCAGCACAUCUCACAUUGAUGACAUGAACUUCUCUUGCAUCUUUGAGUUACAGAAAGGACCGGCUCUGCAUUAUUACAAGUAUCCACGUUAUCUUUGUUACUCACAGCUUGAUUCAACUAAACUGUAAUGGCUGCGACUGAAAACAUGUAAAAUAUUUAAGUGUGUUUCAGCUGGACAUGCUUAUAUUAGGUGUCUGAAGUCAGAGCUGCAGAAUUGAGAGUGAUUUGGAAAGCCAAGUCUAAAGACUAAACUGAAAGAGGAAGAAAAAUAAUAUUUUAUACAAUGCAGUUGGAAAGGAAAUCUCCAAGAGCUGGGUUCCUUUUGCAAUUACAAAAGUUGUUCCAGAAUUUGAAUUUUACAUAUCACUAAGAAGGAGACAAUUAACAUGUUCUGGGUCAUUACCAAAUGGCUUUGUUUGUACUCUUAACUGUAGUUCAUUUCUGGGUCAUUCCAGGAAUGAAGCUCAUCACUGUGUAGCAUAGUUUUUUUCAUGUUAGUUGCUACAGCUUAGUUGAAGUUGUACAUGUUAUUUCUUGGCAAUUUUGCACAUUAAAUAAAAGAUGUCUUAAAAUCCA